CGCACUAUCAUCAUGGUAACGCGGCAUUGUGAUAAUGCAUUCUCUCUCUCUCUCUCUCUCUCUCUCUCUCUCUCUCUCUCUCUCUCUCUCUCUCUCUCUCUCUCUCUAACACUUCACCACAGUGGGCUGCUUAUCUGAGGUGUGACGCACAAUACUCUGCCUUGCCAUUUUCCCAGAGGAAGGUCGGCCAUUGUGCCAAGCUACAACCUCAUGGAUGCCAGACCAGCGCCUUCCCAGCCACGGCACGGCUUUGACUCAGAUUGAUAUUUUUUUUUUUUAGACGUCAACGAGUCACAUAAUUACCCGGAAAAUACCCAGCACAAUGUAAGAAAACUGUCGCCUUUCCUUUAAGUUCUACCUUUAUCUUUGCCAUCUGUCCCCGAGGAACACCCACGCGCGCCUCCACAUAUUCAUGCCAACGGUCUUCCCAAUCUUCCGCAGGGUGGAAGACUUCCUUAAAACUCGCCUCACCUUGGUCUUCCCCUCCCACCCCGCGCAUCACAAAGGAAGGAAGGCACCAAACGUUUGAACACUAUGAAUACGUUUAUAUGUAUGAGAUUCCAGUCCUUGUCUUAUUCUUCCGUCGCCUACCUCACUUCGUCCUUCACCAACCUAAAGGAAGAUCCAUAGAAAAACUCGUAAAAGGAAAAAUGUCUGGGUACGUUUCCUGGAACGUCCGCUGAUGACCUUACUCCACUCGGGCCGCACUAUAAAAGUUGGACGGCGCUUCCCAGACACAACAGACGCAACUCUUCCACUCAGAAUAGCUGAACCUUCUCUCAUUCGGCAUCAUGCGAGCUCUGACACUCCUGCUGGUGGUGGCCGUGGCCCUGGCGGUGCACGCCAUGCCAGAGCCCUUUCCCGACCCCGAGGCCCUCGCCGAUCCUGAUCCCUCUGCGAGCUUUGGCUACGGACGUGGGUAUGGCUAUGGAGGCUAUGGUCUCGGCUACGGUUAUGGCUACCGUAAUCGCGGCUAUUACUGGUAAUGUCAUGUGUCCAUAUCAUGAAGGGCGAGGCGAUGCCACACCCACAGUGGCACUGCCGUCGCCUCUCUGCGUCAUAUCGCCGCCCCACCUCCUGCUACAUGAGCACCUUCAAGUAAAAUCCGAUCAUACUUUUGAAAUAACACAGUUGCGAAACUGUACUCCCUUUUUGUCUUCAAAAUCAAAAUAAAUAUUGCAAAUA